rnacentral:rRNA from 1 species
ACUCCUACGGGAGGCAGCAGUGGGGAAUAUUGGACAAUGGGGGCAACCCUGAUCCAGCAAUUCUGUGUGCACGAAGAAGGUUUUCGGAUUGUAAAGUGCUUUCAGCAGGGAAGAAGAAAGUGACGGUACCUGCAGAAGAAGCGACGGCUAAAUACGUGCCAGCAGCCGCGGUAAUACGUAUGUCGCAAGCGUUAUCCGGAAUUAUUGGGCAUAAAGGGCAUCUAGGCGGCCCUGUAAGUCUAGGGUGAAAACCUGCGGCUCAACCGCAGGCCUGCCCCGGAAACUACAGGGCUAGAGUAUCGGAGAGGUGGACGGAACUGCACGAGUAGAGGUGAAAUUCGUAGAUAUGUGCAGGAAUGCCGAUGAUGAAGAUAGUUCACUGGACGGUAACUGACGCUGAAGUGCGAAAGCUAGGGGAGCAAACAGGAUUAGAUACCCUUGUAGUCCUGAGU